rnacentral:rRNA from 1 species
UACGGAGGAUGCGAGCGUUAUCCGGAUUUACUGGGUGUAAAGGGAGCGUAGGCGGCGAUGCAAGUCAGAAGUGAAAGCCCGGGGCUCAACUCCGGGACUGCUUUUGAAACUGUAUGGCUAGAUUGCAGGAGAGGCAAGUGGAAUUCCUAGUGUAGCGGUGAAAUGCGUAGAUAUUAGGAGGAACACCAGUGGCGAAGGCGGCUUGCUGGGCUUUUACUGACGCUGAGGCUCGAAAGCGUGGGUAGCAAACAGG